AAAAAAAAAAAAAAAAAAAGUCUUAUAUUGUGGGCACAAAUAUGAUUUACCUAUCUAUAUAAAGGGAAAGAAAAUGGAAUCAAGCAGAAUUGUUACAAAAUGGCUUUGUAGGUAAUGAUCAAAUAAAGGAGGCUGCUCACCACAAGGAUUUGAAACUAAUACUUUCUUGAGUUUUCAAGGCAUAAUUGUCAACUAACUUAAAUCUACCAGCUUCACAUUAAUAAAGGAAAAAAUGAAAGCUGG
rnacentral:misc_RNA from 1 species